AGGGUGUAGCAAUCAAAAUCCUUGGUCUUAGUGGCCCAGGCCCAACAUGGAGAGGCAAAUUGUCGAGGGAUAAUCAGAUCUUCCUCAUUUCCACUUCUUUCACUUAGCCUAACUCCUCACUCCCUCUCUCUAUUACGCCGCCCACUAGAAAUCGCUCUGUCACGUCGGAGGCGGCAUAACUUUCCAAAUAUACCGCAAACCAAAACCAAACACAUCCUCUCAAUCUCUUAUCUUCAAUUCUCGUGUUUGUUUCCUCCUAAACUCCAUCAGAUCUCCAAAUCGAAACAUACGUUCAUGAACCCUAUGAUGCAAUUUCAAAAUUAAACGAGCGUAGAGGUCCAAAACGAACUCAGGCCUUAGUACUACAUCGUGGUAAGCAUUUUGAAACAAAAAUAUGGAGGAAUUACCAACCUACAAGGCGGAGGUGGCAUUGGAAAUCGUUGAAGCUUGAUGAAGAUGAAGAUGUAAUAAGAAAACCAGAGGAUUCUACAGGGCUGAUGUGCAUGAGAUGGAGUGAUCGAGGCUUAGCUUAACAUUAUGGCAUCACAAAGUAAUUGUGGGAUGCAUCAAGAACAUGAAAAAGUCUCGAAGAACUUGGAGGAUUUGAGGAAAAUUAAAGGCAUAAAUGGAGGAUCAAUGAUGAUGAGGACCAAAGUAGGUUUAGGUAGCUAGUUUGACCUUUGGUCAACUGUUUGACCAAAAGUCAAUACUAGGUAAAAAAUGGAUUUUUGUAUGAUUUGUACUUUGGGUUCUUUUGUUAUGAAACUUGGAAUAUUUAUAAUGAAAAAACAUGAUCUGUUUGAAUGUAAUAUAACUUGAUUUCCAAGUUAA